UCAGUUACAAUCCAGCAUCUGGGGCACACACAACGAGUAUCUGAUUACUCUCUUAUUUUGCCCCGGGAAGGUCUGAGAAUCGGCCAAGCCAUGUUGUUUCGCUUCGUGCGAGGCUCUAUUUUCUAGCAGGAAACCUGUAUGAUUACAGGGCGAGAGUACCAGAAAUCCUGCCCAGGUGUUGCCGUUGCCCAGCAACCGCCGCCUGAUGGCAUUGAAAACUCUCGUGGCCAGCCUUUUUAGUGCGAUGUGCUUGCUGCCUUCGGGUAGAACUCAAUUCAGACUAAUCUGUGACUGA
rnacentral:RNase_P_RNA from 12 species